GAUGAACGCUAGCGGCAGGCCUAAUACAUGCAAGUCGAACGGUGUAGCAAUACACAGUGGCGCACGGGUGCGUAACACGUAUGCAACCUACCUUACAUUGGGGGAUAGCCUUUCGAAAGGGAGAUUAAUACCGCAUAAGACAGUAACUAGGGAUCUAGUAGCUGUUAAAGAUUUAUCGAUGUAAGCUGGGCAUGCGUCCAAUUAGUUAGUUGGCGAGGUAAUGGCUCACCAAGACGAUGAUUGGUAGGGGAACUGAGAGGUCAAUCCCCCACACUGGCACGGAGAUACGGGCCAGACGCCUACGGGAGGCAGCAGUAGGGAAUAUUGGGCAAUGGGCGCAAGCCUGACCCAGCCAUGCCGCGUGCAGGAAGAAGGCGUUAUGCGUUGUAAACUGCUUUCAUACAGGAAGAAACGACCCUUGCGAGGGGCAUUGACGGUACUGUAUGAAUAAGCACCGGCUAACUCCGUGCCAGCCGCCGCAGUAAGAC
rnacentral:rRNA from 1 species